ACCCAAAUGAUGAAGUUAACAUGCUCAGCUGCUAACUGAAAGGUUGGAGGUUCGAGUCCACCUAGAGGUA
rnacentral:tRNA from 1 species